UACAGAGGGUGCGAGCGUUGUCCGGAAUCACUGGGCGUAAAGGGCGCGUAGGUGGCCCGCCAAGUCACUGGUGAAAGCUCGAUGCUUAACAUCGAGUCGGCCAGUGAUACUGGUGGGCUGGAGCACUGUAGAGGCUCAUGGAAUUCCGGGUGUAGCGGUGGAAUGCGUAGAGAUCCGGAAGAACACCCGUGGCGAAGGCGGUGUGCUGGGCUGCACCUGACGCUGAGAUGCGAAAGUGUGGGGAGCAAACGGG
rnacentral:rRNA from 1 species